rnacentral:rRNA from 1 species
GACGAACGCUGGCGGCAUGCCUAACACAUGCAAGUCGAACGGUAAGGCUUCCUUCGGGAAGUACACGAGUGGCGAACGGGUGAGUAACACGUGGGUAACCUACCCUUGACUGGGGGAUAACCGAGGGAAACUUCGGCUAAUACCGCAUAACGUGCAUUGCCUCAAGGUGGUGUACCAAAGCUCCGGCGGGUAAGGGAGGGGCCCGCGGCAGAUUAGCUUGUUGGUGAGGUAACGGCUUACCAAGGCGACGAUAUGUAGCUGGUUGGAGAGGAAGAUCAGCCAAACUGGAAGUGAGAGACGGUCCAGACUCCUACGGGAGGAAGCAGUAGGGAAUCCUGCGCAAUGGGCGAAAGCCUGACGCAGCAAUGCCGCGUGAGGGAAGACGGCCUUAGGGUUGUAAACCUCUUUCAGCAGGGACGAACACAGACGGUACCUGCAGAAGAAGCCCCGGCUAACUACGUGCCAGCCGCCCGGUAA